rnacentral:rRNA from 2 species
UUGACCUCGGAUCAGGUAGGAAUACCCGCUGAACUUAAGCAUAUCAAUAAGCGGAGGAAAAGAAACCAACAGGGAUUGCCCCAGUAACGGCGAGUGAAGCGGCAACAGCUCAAAUUUGAAAUCUGGCCCCUAGGGCCCGAGUUGUAAUUUGCAGAGGAUGCUUUUGGUGAGGCGCCGCCUGAGUGCCCUGGAACGGGCUGCCAUAGAGGGUGAGAGCCCCGUCUGGCUGGCUGCCGAGCCUCUUUAAAGCUCCUUCGACGAGUCGAGUAGUUUGGGAAUGCUGCUCUAAAUGGGAGGUAUAUGUCUUCUAAAGCUAAAUAUUGGCCAGAGACCGAUAGCGCACAAGUAGAGUGAUCGAAAGAUGAAAAGCACUUUGAAAAGAGGGUUAAAUAGUACGUGAAAUUGUUGAAAGGGAAGCGCUCAUGACCAGACUUGGGCCUGGCGAAUCAUCCGGCGUUCUCGCCGGUGCACUUUGCCAGGUCCAGGCCAGCAUCAGUUCGCCGCGGGGGAUAAAGGCUUCGGGAACGUGGCUCCUCCGGGAGUGUUAUAGCCCGUUGCGUAAUACCCUGCGGUGGACUGAGGUCCGCGCAUCUGCAAGGAUGCUGGCGUAAUGGUCAUCAGCGACCCGUC